rnacentral:rRNA from 1 species
GUGAGGAAUUUUCCGCAAUGAGCGAAAGCCUGACGGAGCAAUGCCGCGUGAAGGAUGAAGGCCUAUGGGUUGUAAACUUCUUUUCUCAGAAAAGAAUUAUGACGGUAUCUGAGGAAUAAGCAUCGGCUAACUCUGUGCCAGCAGCCGCGGUAAGACAGAGGAUGCAAGCGUUAUCCGGAAUGAUUGGGCGUAAAGCGUCUGUAGGUUGUUUAAAAAGUAUUCUGUCAAAGAUUAGGGCUUAACCCUAGAUAGGCAGAAUAAACUUUUAAGCUAGAGUUUGGUAGAGGCAGAGGGAAUUCCCGGUGGAGCGGUGAAAUGCGUAGAUAUCGGGAGGAACACCAAAGGCGAAGGCACUCUGCUGGGCCAAUACUAACACUGAGAGACGAAAGCGAGGGGAGCAAAUGGGAUUAGAUACCCGGGUAGUCC